rnacentral:rRNA from 1 species
AACGAACGCUGGCGGCAGGCUUAACACAUGCAAGUCGAGCGCCCCGCAAGGGGAGCGGCAGACGGGUGAGUAACGCGUGGGAAUCUACCCAUCUCUACGGAAUAACGCAUGGAAACGUGUGCUAAUACCGUAUACGUCCUACGGGAGAAAGAUUUAUCGGAGAUGGAUGAGCCCGAGUUGGAUUAGCUAGUUGGUGGGGUUAAGGCCUACCAAGGCGACGAUCCAUAGCUGGUCUGAGAGGAUGAUCAGCCACACUGGGACUGAGACACGGCCCAUGCUCCGACGGGAGGCAGCAGUGGGGAAUAUUGGACAAUGUGCGCAAGCCUUAUCCAGCCAUGCCGCGUGAGUGAUGAAGGCCCUAGGGUUGUAAAGCUCUUUCACCGGUGAAGAUAAUGACGGUAACCGGAGAAGAAGCCCCGGCUAACUUCGUGCCAGCCGCCACCGUAAGAC